GGAAGCUGAUCCUUCACCACAACCACGGCAACGGGAGAGGCUUAUCUCUCACCACGACAGACUUGAGGGGUUCUCUGCCAACUGAUCUCUCACCGCAACGUGUAGACGGAUCUCUACGUGGAGACUGAUCUCUCACCACGACACGAGCUUCCUGCCUUCCGAUCCUCCUCUACGGACCGUUUGCUGACGGACUUCCCUGGGCCUGCUACCUGAGACCUGCUGCUUCCUCCCUGACCUGCACCCUCUCGCUGCCCCAGACCGGCCUUGCUGCUCCUGCCCUUCGGCCUCGGACCGUCGGAACGUCGUGCAACGGGACUGCUGCCGGAUCCUGGUGCUUUCUUAUAGGCCCUUUCAGGUACUGGAAGACUGCUAUUAGGUCUCUUUGGAGCCUUCUCUUCUCCAGGCUGAAGAACUCCAUCUCUCUCAGCCUGUCCUCAUAGGGGAGGUGCACCAGCCCCCUGAUCAUCUUUGUGGCUCUCCUCUGGACCUGAUCCAACAACUCCAUGUCCUUGUGUUGGGGAAUGCAGAACUGGACACACUACUCCAGCUAUGUCUAAACCAGGCAUGUUCAACCCACAGCCCAUGGACUACAUGAGGCCCAGCACAGCUUGCCCUGCAGCCACCCCACUCCCCAUGCCAUCAUGGGAGUGGCUUUUCUUCACCAAGUGUCCUGGCCCAGCCCCAGGUGCACAAAUAUCACCUAGCACCAACCAAACCUCAGUAUGCUAUCAACCCUAUCUGGGAUGAAACCAAGGAAUGGGGAGGCACAGUUAAGGGCUCACUCAAGUUAUGGCAAAUAAUUUUAGGGAUUUUGAUACACAGUCCUGUGAACAGCAAAAAAUAUGCAGCCGUGCUUUCCAUUUCGAUUAAAGAAUUUGAGUUUAGAUUUUAAGAGUGCUGAAAAAAUCACCAAAUUUUUGGUUUAUUUGUGACUCAAUUUUUUAGUGAAUGUAAAUAUAUUACUUAGAAAUUUCAAAUGAAAUGUAUAGAGUUGCAAUCAAAAAUUUGAUAUCUCUUUACCAGUCUUUUAUAAGCCCUAUCUUACCAGAAAGAAUUAUCCCUCGCUUCAGUCAUACUUGGUUCAUAUCAUUGCUUUUUCGCUACUGUUUUCAAGAAUGAAGCACACAAAUCGAAAAAUUGUAUCCAAUAUGUAUGAUGAAAACCUUGAGAACUCACUAAGAAUUGCAAUCACUGCCAUCAAAACAGUGUUGCAUUAGAUAAACAAAACAAGGUCAAAUAUUCCACUGUUUUUAUGUUUUUGUUUCUCUCUUUUAUGAUUUAAUU
rnacentral:lncRNA from 1 species